UACGUAGGGAGCAAGCGUUGUCCGGAAUCAUUGGGCGUAAAGCGCGCGUAGGCGGCUCGGUCAGUCGGGUGUGAAAUCCCUGGGCUCAACCUGGGAACUGCAUUCGAUACUGCCGAGCUAGAGUGUGGGAGAGGGUGGUGGAAUUCCCGGUGUAGCGGUGAAAUGCGUAGAUAUCGGGAGGAACAUCAGUGGCGAAGGCGACCGCCUGGCCCAACACUGACGCUGAGGUGCGAAAGCGUGGGUAGCAAACAGG
rnacentral:rRNA from 1 species